AUUGAACGCUGGCGGCAGGCCUAACACAUGCAAGUCGAGCGGAUGAAGGGAGCUUGCUCCUGGAUUCAGCGGCGGACGGGUGAGUAAUGCCUAGGAAUCUGCCUGGUAGUGGGGGAUAACGUCCGGAAACGGGCGCUAAUACCGCAUACGUCCUGAGGGAGAAAGUGGGGGAUCUUCGGACCUCACGCUAUCAGAUGAGCCUAGGUCGGAUUAGCUAGUUGGUGGGGUAAAGGCCUACCAAGGCGACGAUCCGUAACUGGUCUGAGAGGAUGAUCAGUCACACUGGAACUGAGACAAGGUCCAGAAUCCUAAGGGAGGCAGCAGUGGGGAAUAUUGGACCAUGGGGGAAAGGCUGAUCCAGCCAUGCCGCGUGUGUGAAGAAGGUCUUCGGAUUGUAAAGCACUUUAAGUUGGGAGGAAGGGCAGUAAGUUAAUACCUUGCUGUUUUGACGUUACCAAAAGAAUAAGCACCGGCUAACUUCGUGC
rnacentral:rRNA from 1 species